rnacentral:pre_miRNA from 1 species
UGCGGGAUCUUUAGUUGUGGUGUGUGAAUUCUUAGUUGCAGCAACUAAAGAUCCCUCAGG